CCUANGGGCGGCUGCAGUCGAGAAUCUUCCGCAAUGGACGAAAGUCUGACGGAGCGACGCCGCGUGAUUGAUGAAGACCCUAUGGGUCGUAAAGAUCUUUUAUGAGGGAAGAAGUUUAUUGACGGUACCUCAUGAAUAAGAGGCUCCUAAUCUCGUGCCAGCAGGAGCGGUAAUACGAGAGCCUCGAGCGUUAUCCGGAAUUAUUGGGCGUAAAGGGUGAGUAGGCGGCGCUGUUAGUCGGGUGUUAAAUCUCUGGGCUUAACCUAGAAAUCGCAUUCGAAACGGCAGUGCUUGAGAAAAGAAGGGGUGCAUAGAACUCAUGGUGUAGGGGUGAAAUCCGUUGAUAUCAUGGGGAAUACCAAAAGCGAAGGCAGUGCACUGGUCUUUAUCUGACGCUGAAUCACGAAAGCGUGGGUCGCGAAUGGGAUUAGAUACACCGNUANUC
rnacentral:rRNA from 1 species